AACCAUAGAAACCUGCGGAGUACCUGCGGAAGGAUCAUUACAGAGUUGCAAAACUCCCUAAACCUUUGUGAACGUUACCUAAACCGUUGCUUCGGCGGGCGGCCCGGGUCCUUCCCGGCGCCCCUCGGCCCUCGCGGGCGCCCGCCGGAGGUAAACCAAACUAUUGCAUUGUAUGGCCUCUCUGAGUCUUCUGUACUGAAUAAGUCAAAACUUUCAACAAUGGAUCUCAGAUCGGAAGAG
rnacentral:misc_RNA from 1 species